GAUGAACGCUAGCUACAGGCUUAACACAUGCAAGUCGAGGGGCAGCAUGAACUUAGCUUGCUAAGUUUGAUGGCGACCGGCGCACGGGUGAGUAACACGUAUCCAACCUUCCGUUUACUCAGGGAUAGCCUUUCGAAAGAAAGAUUAAUACCUGAUAGUAUGGUGAGAUUGCAUGAUAACACCAUUAAAGAUUUAUUGGUAAACGAUGGGGAUGCGUUCCAUUAGGUAGUAGGCGGGGUAACGGCCCACCUAGCCUGCGAUGGAUAGGGGUUCUGAGAGGAAGGUCCCCCCACAUUGGAACUGAGACACGGUCCAAACUCCUACGGGAGGCAGCAGUGAGGAAUAUUGGUCAAUGGGCGAGAGCCUGAACCAGCCAAGUAGCGUGAAGGAUGAAGGUCCUACGGAUUGUAAACUUCUUUUAUACGGGAAUAAAGUUUCCUACGUGUAGGAUUUUGUAUGUACCGUAUGAAUAAGCAUCGGCUAACUCCGUGCCAGCAGCCGCGGU
rnacentral:rRNA from 1 species